rnacentral:misc_RNA from 1 species
UUAAGUUCAGCGGGUAACCUCGUCUGACAUGAAAUCAAGUUUAUGAGUACGUUGGGCUCGGGGCAUGCAACUCCCAUUCAGAGGCGUGUCCACUACUCUGCGGGUGAAGACUCCACGGCCGACACUUUGCGGGCGGCGGCAGACCUUUCAGCGAGCCGUCCCCAUCACCGAACCGAGUUCGAGUGGAUAAAUGAUGUUCA